CAUGUAUGUAUGUAUCAGAGCUGUAAAAUAAUUGAAUCAACAUAGUCUGCAUUCACUCGGCAUUCCUUUCAAAAUGUUGAUUGUUGGUUUGUAUAAAUAAAAACCCCAUUCCUGAGUGGCUUAAAAUAUUUGAAAACAAACAGUGUUUUGUUAUUGAAUGGUAGAUUGCCAUUCAGUAUAGAAUGUGAAUGUACAGCAGCAUUCGCACUCACACAUGAUUGCAUAUUUAGAAUGAAUGCACACUUUUUUACCAUUCAGUACCAAUAAUUUGUUCCCAGGGUUGAUAUAUUUUAUACUUUAAAGUUUAAACAUAUCUGGAAUUGAAA